UUUACUAAAAUUGGAAAAAAUAAAAAAAUUGGAAUGAUACAGAGAUUAGCACACCCCCUCACUCACAAGGAUGACAUGUGAAUUCAUAUGAAAGCGUUCCAUAUUUUU
rfam:Cavia porcellus supercont2_25 genomic scaffold, whole genome shotgun sequence.